rnacentral:lncRNA from 1 species
UUUGGAUGAUUUGCCUAUGAGAAAAGGUCCCAGGAUGAUGACUGCUUAUGACGAGACAAUGACUAUUCGUAGAUGAACUUGGCAAUGUGAUUGUGUUAGAUGAGCCCAACACUCCCCAAGCUCAUAACAGUUGGCAGAAAGGCAAUGCAUGGAAGAGAGCAUAUAGAGGUGGAGAAGGAAUUGAUGAUCCUGGAGAAGAAGUGAUGUUGGCAGCUCGAUCAAAACAGGAUCAAAGAGGAGAUUGCUUUCAGUUGGCCACGGGAAGGUCAGCAAUCUCCGUGCAGACACCAGGUGGGCCAUUACUGCUAUUACACAUACUGUGGACAAACAGAGAUAAGUCUGGAGCCAGUGUAUGAAAUCACGGGGUUUUCAGGUGAAAGACAACCUACCCAGUGCAACCUGUACCAGCUUCGCUAUACAUCGA